rnacentral:rRNA from 1 species
GAUGAACGCUGGCGGCGUGCCUAAUACAUGCAAGUCGAGCGGUAAGGCCUCUUCGGAGGUACACGAGCGGCGGACGGCUGAGUAACGCGUAGGAACCUACCCUGAAGUGAGGGAUAAGCACCAGAAAUGGUGUCUAAUACCGCAUGUGCUCUUAGGAGUAAAGCUUCGGCGCUUUAGGAAGGGCCUGCGUAUGAUUAGCUUGUUGGUGAGGUAAAAGCUCACCAAGGCGACGAUCAUUAGCUGGUCUGAGAGGAUGAUCAGCCAGACUGGGACUGAG